rnacentral:rRNA from 1 species
UACAGAGGUCCCGAGCGUUGUUCGGAUUCACUGGGCGUAAAGGGUGCGUAGGUGGCUUUGCAAGUCUGAUGUGAAAUCUCCGGGCUUAACCCGGAAAUGGCAUUAGAAACUGUGAGGCUUGAGGCUUGGAGGGGAACUGGAAUUCUCGGUGUAGCAGUGAAAUGCGUAGAGAUCGAGAGGAACACCAGUGGCGAAGGCGAGUUCCUGGACAAGUCCUGACACUGAGGCACGAAAGCCCGGGGGAGCAAACAGG